GGCGGACGGGUUUAGUAACGCGUUGGGAACGUACCCUUUUCUACGGAAUAGCCUCGGGAAACUGAGAGUAAUACCGUAUACGCCCUUCGGGGGAAAGAUUUAUCGGAGAAGGAUCGGCCCGCGUAAGAUUAGAUAGUUGGUGGGGUAAUGGCCUACCAAGUCUACGAUCUUUAGCUGGUUUGAGAGGAUGAUCAGCAACACUGGGACUGAGACACGGCCCAGACUCCUACGGGAGGCAGCAGUGGGGAAUCUUAGACAAUGGGGGAAACCCUGAUCUAGCCAUGCCGCGUGAGUGACGAAGGCCUUAGGGUCGUAAAGCUCUUUCGCUGGGGAAGAUAAUGACUGUACCCAGUAAAGAAACCCCGGCUAACUCCGUGCCAGCAGCCGCGGUAAUACGGAGGGGGUUAGCGUUGUUCGGAAUUACUGGGCGUAAAGCGCGC
rnacentral:rRNA from 1 species